AAUAUUGUGUCUGAUAAAAGAAAUAAACUGUAAAUUUAUUAAUAGAAAUUUAAAUUUUCUCAAUAUUA
rnacentral:tRNA from 1 species